UUGCCCCUCAGUCUACACCCUAAUUAUUUGGUCUCUAUCCUUGAUAUAUCUACCUAUACUCUUGAUAUAAUGGCUUGCAAUCUUAGCAUUUGGGCUUGCAUCCUUGUUGGUCUAUCAACCUACACUCUUAAUAUUUUGACAUGCAGACAUAUCGAUUUAUCAACCUACACCCUUGAUGUAUUAGCCUGCAUAUUUGGUGUUGCAACCUACAUACCUAUUGAUGUUUCAGUCUGCGCCCUUAGUAUAUCAACUUGCAUCAUUGGUAUAUUUGCAUAUAUCCUUGGUGUUUCAACUUGUACUUUAAUUAAUAUAUUAGCUUACAUCCUUGGA
rnacentral:lncRNA from 1 species